rnacentral:misc_RNA from 1 species
CGAAUUCUUUGGAUCGGAAUUGGAGAAGAGUAUCUGAUAGGCAGAGCGCUGGGAAUCGUACGAAGCACGCUCCUGCGCGUCUGAGAGAACGUCGUAAGCGUUCACAAGCUCCUGAAAUAUAGCGGUUGCUUCAAAUUCCGGCACGCCGGAUCGGACGAGCUUGUCAGGAUGGCGUUGCAGUGCGAGCUUCCUGAAAGCCGACCUGAUCUCGUUCGGGGUGCAGUCGCAGUUCACGCCGAGGACCUCGUAAAAGCAUCUUUUCUCCGACGACAAUGCCGUUAUCCCCGGGAAAGAAAGAGAAGUAG